UACGUAGGGAGCAAGCGUUGUCCGGAAUCAUUGGGCGUAAAGCGCGCGUAGGUGGCUUCGUAAGUCCGUUGUGAAAGUCAAAGGCUCAACCUUUGAAAGCCGAUGGAUACUGUGAAGCUAGAGUACGGAAGAGGCGAGUGGAAUUCCUGGUGUAGCGGUGGAAUGCGCAGAUAUCAGGAGGAACACCAGCGGCGAAGGCGGCACUCUGGGCUGGUACUGACGCUGAGGAGCGAAAGCGUGGGUAGCGAACAGG
rnacentral:rRNA from 1 species